rnacentral:lncRNA from 1 species
CUAAACCCUACCUAACCCUAAACCCCUUCUAACCCUAAACCUGAUCUAACCCUAAAUCCUGCCUAACCCUAAACCCUACCUAAUCCUAAACCCUUUCUAGCCCUAAAUCCUACUAACCCUAAACCCUACUAACCCUAAACCCUGCAAACCUUAAACCCUACCUAAUUCUAAACCCUACCUAACCCUAACCCUACAUAACCCUACACCCUACUUAACCAUAAACCCUACUAACCCUAAACCCUACCUAACCUAAACCCUACCUAACCCUAAACCAUACUAACCCAAAACCCUACUAACCCUAAACCCUACCAAACCUUAAACCCUACCUAAACCUAAACCCUACUAACCCUAACCCUACCGAACCCUAAACCCUACCUAACCCUAUCUAACCCUAAACCCUACCUAACCCUAAACCCUACCUAACCCUAAACCCUACCUACCCUACCUAACCCUAAACCCUACCUAACCCUAAACCCUACUAACCCUAAACCCUCCCUAACCCUAGACCCUACCAACCCUAAACCCUACCUAACCCUAACCCCUACCUAACCCUAAACCCUUUCUAACCCUAAACCCUUCCUAACCCUUAACCCUGCCUAACCCUAAAAACCCUACCUAACUUUAAACCCUUUCUAGCCUUAAAUCCUACUAACUCUAAACCCUACUAACCCUAAACCCUUUCUAACCCUAAACCCUACCUAAUUCUAAACCCUACCUAACCCUAACCUACAUAACCCUAAACCCUACAUAACCAUAAACCCUACUAACCCUAAACCCUACCUAACCUAAACCCUACUAACCCUAAACCCUACCUAACCUAAACCCUACCUAACCCUAAACCCUACCUAACCUAAAACCCUACUAACCCAAAACCCUACUAACCCUAAACCCUACCUAACCCUAAAUCCUAUCUAACCCUAAAUCCUAUCUAACCCUAAACCCUACCUACCCUAAACCCUACCUAGCCAUAAACCCUACUAACCGUAAACCCUACCUAACCCUAAACCCUAUCUAACCCUAAACCCUACUAACCCUAAACCCUUCCUAACUCUACCUACUCUAAACCCUUUUUAACCCUAAACCCUUUUUAACCCUAAACCCUUCCUAACCCUAAACUCUGUCUAACCCUAAAAACCCUACCUAACCCUAAACCCUUUCUAACCCUAAACCCUACCUAACCCUAAACCCUGCUAACCCUUAACUCUGCCUAAACCUAACCCUAAAAUCCUACCUAAACCUAACCAUAAAUCCCAUCUAACCCUAAAACUCUACCAACCCUAAACACUAAAAAAUAAUCUCAAAAUUUAAAGCUAAAAAAUAAUCUCAAAAGUUAAAGCUUAAACUUAAACACUAUAUAAUUAAAUAUUAAUCAAAUAAUUUUUUUAAUUAUAUAAUUAAAAAUAUAAUAUUGAGUUAUUUUAAUAUUUAUUUUAGUAAUGAAUCUAUAUUUAUAUAAUUAUGUUUGCUUCUCUCCUAAGCUAUCCACGUGGAAAGUCACUCUCUGACAGGCCGACACGUGUCUCUGGGUUUUAUUUCUUUGGCUGGACUUGUGUUUAACUUUGAGCUUAUACUAUAAACAAUUGACAUGACUUUUUACUCUUUAAUAUUAUUGAAUGUGUUAAUUAUUUCUUAAUACGUAGUAGAUAAAACAAAAAAACACACAUUACGAUAUGGACGUUAUAUUAUCAUCAAAGCAAUCUUUACCAUAUGUACCUCAUCAUGUGAUAUAAUUAAUAAAGUAACAACGAAUCUAUGAGUUCAACAAAUUUAGAAUUACCUACUUCAGAAUUUUAAACAGUCAACAAUAGUGUGUUGAAUAUUAUUCAUAUGAUUUAAAAGUCUUUACAGAUUUUAUUUUUAAACAUACACCAAAAACCUUAUGAAAGUAAAUACCCAUUCAGGUUCUCAAUCACUUCAAAUACCAAAAAAAGUUUAAUCAAGUGCACGAAAACUAUAAUAUAUUUAAAACUACAAUAAAUACAUUAGUUAAUGAAAAAUCCUUUUUAAAAAAUAUUAUGGAUGCAUACAUAAAUAUUAAGAGAAAUGUAUAAAAGAAAAUAAAAGUAACAAUAACUUUAAGAACAAAAUGUAUAAGACUAAGAAUAUUUCUGAUUUGUGGUCUAAGAUAUAUUCAACUUAUUGUCACAAAAAACUUAAUAAAAAAAUACAUACUUUGUUUUAAGAUCAAUAAAAAUCACGUUAAAAAUUUUAACAUUUUAAGAAAAAUUAAGUAUCAAUAAUAUUAAUAUAAAAUUUUAUCCGAAAACCUCAGCACUAAAUGCAUAAACAAAAAACCCUAAACCCUAAACCCUAUAAUCCUAAGCAUUAUUCUAAACCAAACCCUAAACCCAACUUAAACAAAACGCUAAACCAUUCCUACUAUCUAAACCCUAAAUCCUACCUAACCCUAAAACCUACCUAAACCUAGACCUUAACACUAUCUAACCCUAAACCCUUCCUACUACCUAAACCCUAAACCUAUCUAACCGUAAACCUCCCUAACCCUAAACGUAAACCCUACCUAACCCUAAACCCUAUUGAACCCUAAACCCUACAUAAACCUAACCCUAAUCUCUAAACCCUUCCUACUACUUAAACCCUAAACCUAUCUAACCGUAAACCUACCUAACCCUAAACGUAAACCCUACCUAACCCUAAACCCUAUUAAACCUUAAACCCUACCUAACCCUAACCCCAACCUAACCCUAAAACCCUACCUAAAACUUAACCCUAAACCCUACCUAACCCUAACCCUAAAAACUACCUACCCUAAACCCAACCUAACCCUAAACCCUACCUAACCCUAACCCUACAUAACCCUAAACCCUACCUAACCCUAGCCCUACAUAACCCUAAACCCUACUAACCUUACCUAACCUAAACCCUACCUAACCAAAAACCUUUCUAACCCUAAACCCUUUCAAGCCCUAAAUCCUAUCUAACCCUAAACCCUACUUACACUAAACCCUACUAACCCUAAACCCUACUAACCAUAAACCCAACUAACCCUAAACCCUUUCUAACCCUAAACCCUACCUAACUUUAAACCCUACCUUACCCUAAACCCUACCUAAUUCUAAACCCUACCUAACCCUAAACCCUACCUAACCCUAAACCCUACCUACCCUAAACCCUUUCGAACCCUAAACCCUACCAAACCCUAAACCCCUUCUAACCCUAAACUUGAUCUAACCCUAAACCCUACCUAUCCCUAAAUCCUACCUAACCCUAAACCUUACCUACCGUAAACCCUUUCUGACCCUAAACCCUACCUAACCCUAAACCCCUUCUAACCCUAAACCUGAUCUAACCCUAAACCCUGCCUAACCCUAAACCCUACCUAAUCCUAAACCCUUUCUAGCCUUUAAUCCUACUAACCCUAAACCCUACUAACCUAAACCAUGCUAACCUUAAACCCUACCUAAUUCAAAACCCUACCUAACCCUAACCCUACAUAACCCUACACCCUACAUAUCUAUAAACCCUACUAACCCUAAACCCUACCUAACCUAAACCCUACCUAACCCUAAACCAUACUAACCUUAAACCCUACUAACCCUAAACCCUACCUAACCUUAAACCCUACCAAACCCUAAACCCUACUAACCCUAACCCUACCGAACCCUAAACCCUACCUAACCCUAUCUAACCCUAAACCCUACCUACCCUACCUAACCCUAACCCUACCGAACCCUAAACCCUACCUAACCCUAUCUAACCCUAAACCCUACCUACCCUACCUAACCCUAAACCCUACCUAACCCUAAACCCUAAACCCUAAACCCUCCCUAACCCUAAACCCUACCAACCCUAAACCCUACCUAACCCUAAACCCUACCUAACCUUAAACCCUACCUAACCCUAAACCCUUUCUAACCCUAAACCCUUCCUAACCCUUAACCCUGCCUAACCCUAAA